GCUGGGCAUGGCAGCGCAUGCCUGUAGUCCCAGCUACUUGGGAGGCUGAGGUGGGAGGAUCACUUGAGCCCAGGAGUUCCAGGCUGCAGUGAGCCAUGAUCGCACCACUGCGUUCCAGCCUGGGUGACAGAGCAAGACCCUGUCUCAA
rfam:Homo sapiens chromosome 7, GRCh38 reference primary assembly.